AUAAAAAUUGUAUAAAAAGUCCUGAUUUGUGUUUUAUAUGUUUAGGACUAAAAGCUGCAGAAGUGUCCUCCCUACCAUCAUCCAUAAUUUUAGAUGCAAAGGAAAUCACAAAUCACAUUGCAGAGCAAAUUUUGAGCAGCACAGGCAGAAGAGCACUCCUGAGAUGAAGAAGCAGAGAGCUGCAUACCAGUUAGCAAUGAGAUUGGUUCAGACUGCCAGAAAUUCUCGACUGGACCCUGGCAGUUUGCGUGAAUAUUUGAAAGCCCUGAAGAAAAAGUAUGAAGCCAGUUGUCCCACAGCCGGAAAGAAUGAGCAACAGUAACAUGUAACAGAGGCUGUUGUUCUAAUUUUUAUGACUGCAAGAUGAUUCUGGUUUUUCCCACAGUAUUAGUACUGUCUUUUUACGUGGUGUUAUAUUUUUAAUUCAUAGUGUAAUGGAAGACCAUAUCCUCUAUGGAUUUCCCCCCCUCCCCCAGCAUACCUGGAAUAAAAGUAUUUGCCUUCUAUGAGGUACACAAUUCUUUUGGAUGAUAAAUUGUAUAAUUUUCAUCAUUUUAGAGCAGUGCUGAGAGGAGAGGGAAAGACUAGGCCAGAGUACUAAGGAACUCAGAAUUUCGGGCAUGACACAGAAGAAUGCUCAGGUUGCAGAAAGGGAAACGUGUGCCCGAAUUGUCUUGAAGCGGUGUUGCUGUGUGUUCUUGUUCAAUUGUGUCUUCUGAAAAUGAGACCGUUCCAUUCACUGUGCUGUGCUAAACACUUCUCACUUCUCCCAGUGCCAGGGAACAGAUGAAGAUUGAAGAAACUUGAAGGAAUUUGGAUGUGUAAAAACAAGCUGUUUUCGCUUCUCCAGAGCAAGGUUUGAUGUUAUUGGCAAUAAAGGUUCUGAGUUUUCUCAUA